AACGAACGCUGGCGGCGCGCCUAAUACAUGCAAGUCGAGCGAGAAGACGUAGCAAUACGUUUGUAAAGCGGCGAACGGGUGAGGAAUACAUGGGUAACCUACCCUCGAGUGGGGAAUAACUAGCCGAAAGGUUAGCUAAUACCGCGUACGCUCCUUGGACUUCGGUUCAGGGAGGAAAGCGAUACCGUGGGUAUCGCGCUCUUGGAUGGGCUCAUGUCCUAUCAGCUUGUUGGUGAGGUAACGGCUCACCAAGGCUUCGACGGGUAGCUGGUCUGAGAGGACGAUCAGCCACACUGGCACUGCGACACGGGCCAGACUCCUACGGAGGCAGCAGUAAGGAAUAUUGCGCAAUGGGCGAAAGCCUGACGCAGCGACGCCGCGUGGGGGAUGAAGGUCUUCGGAUUGUAACCCCUUUCGG
rnacentral:rRNA from 1 species